AGAAUCAACGCUGGCGGCGUGCCUAACACAUGCAAGUCGAACGCGAAAGGGGAGCAAUCCCUGAGUAGAGUGGCAAACGGGUGAGUAACACGUGGGUGACCUACCUUCGAGUGGGGGAUAACGUCCCGAAAGGGACGCUAAUACCGCAUGACAUCCUGUCUUUGGAAAGACGGAGAUCAAAGCCGGGAUCGCAAGACCUGGCGCUUGAAGAGGGGCCCGCGCCUGAUUAGCUAGUUGGUAGGUAACGGCCUACCAAGGCAACGAUCAGUA
rnacentral:rRNA from 1 species